ensembl:lncRNA
CCUAUUUUCCCUUACGGUCCCCGCAUAGGAACCCAUAACAGGUUGCAUACUCGGUUUAAGAGGUGGAAACGAUUCAGGGUCAUUGAAGGAUUCAGCCAAUGGGGUUCCCUUAUUGGUCCAGAGUCAGUGAAGACUUCAAAUCUGUUGUGCAAUACUACAGACAUAUUGUAAAAGACUGCAAUUUUGAGGUCUGGGUGAGCUACUGGCAUAAAAUGGAGGAAGAACAUCCCAACAGGAGAACAGGAAAACUUUCUUUGCAAAGUUGUAUAUAUCCUUUUCUCUUCUUUGUUUUCAGUGUGCACACUCUUUGUAGACUUUACGUAGAAAAGGAUUGUACUUACUCCUUUCAGCGUUUGGUCAUCGUUGUUGUUUGAGGUUUAGUAGAGCUCCUUUCCUCUAUGGAUCUCAUUAAAAAAAUUCAUUUAUUUAUUUU